rnacentral:lncRNA from 1 species
GGGGCUCUUUCCCGCUGUCGCAAGGCGGCGACAUGCGGGGAGCGGCAUCCGGGGGCACCUCACUGACCCUUUCCGGGAACGCCCGUCCGGACGCGCCUGUCCUGCGUUACCGCAGGGCAGAGCGCGGGACCGAGACCGGGAACGCCUCAAUGCAGCGUUCGCGUCGAUUGUGAAUUUGAUGAGAGGAGUCUCAGAGGAAUGCGAGAAGUGCUAUGGGUCUAUGGCAGCCAACAAGUGCAAAGAGAAUGAAAUCAAACACCUCUGCAAAUACCAUGGCAAGUCAGUAGAAAGAAAGAUGGAUUCCAUAGAAGAAGAGGGGACUGAAGGUCCUGUGGAAGCCAGGCAAGCUCAAGCUUGCCAGCAAAGACCCAGAAGACCUUCCAAAGAUUUCUACAUUGAAGUUUCUCCUGGUAUCUAUUCUGUCACAGCAAUCUCAGAAGACAUGGUGGAACACACCCAUGUAGUAAAUGUCAGUGCAGGACAAAGUGUUGAUUUAACUUUUGUUCUGUGAUGUUUGUUGUUUCCUGGCAAUAGCAGGAAUAAAACAUGAGGCUCUUUUUAAUGUGUGUAAUGAGCUAUAAAUAUCUUUUCUUGUUAGCACUUUAAUAGUAGCUUCCUCUUUGGGACUCCAUUUUUAUAGCCUGUACAUUUGUUUUCUAGUUAAUGCAAUUAUAUGCAGCCCACUUUGUACAUUGAUUUUUAUAUAUAUUUGUACAUUGUGUGCCUUUUAAAUCCAGUUAUGUGACUGUGUAAUUCCAGAUUCUUCUGCUCUAAGCAAUUAAAGAUACAAUCAGUGGAAUAAAAUAUAUGAUCAAGCCU